rnacentral:rRNA from 1 species
UACGAAGGGUGCAAGCGUUACUCGGAAUUACUGGGCGUAAAGCGUGCGUAGGUGGUUUGUUAAGUCUGAUGUGAAAGCCCUGGGCUCAACCUGGGAAUGGCAUUGGAAACUGGCUUACUAGAGUGCGGUAGAGGGUAGUGGAAUUCCCGGUGUAGCAGUGAAAUGCGUAGAUAUCGGGAGGAACAUCUGUGGCGAAGGCGACUACCUGGACCAGCACUGACGCUGAGGCGCGAAAGCCAGGGGAGCAAACGGG